GGAGGCACAGCCUUCCCUACCCGGCCCUCCAUACAAUUUUGCAACCCCAAUGUGGCCCCCUAGGCAAAAAAGUUUGCCCACUCCUGUAUUACACCCUGCCCAAAAGAAGAGCAGUAAAGGUGGGUCCUCCAGGCCUGCCUAGAAAGGUUGCAGGAAAGCAGCCAAUCCGAGCCAAGCAGGUUUGGUUAAAAGGAGCUGAAGGGCCUGAGCAAGUCAGUUGCUUACUGGGACCAGAAGGGUGAAGGAGGACUGAAAGGCUAUGAAACUCCCCAGAUAAAGAGACUGGGGAGAAACCCUGCUCAAGCAGGGACAGAACUGGAAAGCUCUGCAGAUGCAGAGGCCAGGGAGAGAGAACCCUGAAUAAAAAGGGGGCAGAGACACCUGAGAGAAGACCCUGAGACAUCAGGGCAAAAACAGAGAAACUCUCCAUGCAAGGAGGUCUGGGAGAGACCCUGCUCAAACAGGGAACAGGCAGAGAAUCCAAGAAGGUGAUGGGACUGAGUGGGAAGCAACCAGGGAAUGUAGUAGCAGCUAUUAAAGUAGCAUGAGGCUGCUAUUUGUAGGGUCCCUGGCUUGGGAUCCAGAGUAGUGGGCAGGCCUGGGUCCUGCCACUGGGGAAGAGGCCUAAGCCCCAAGAAGGGGAUAAGACUUAAUAUCAAAAGCCUGAGAAAGGGGCUAGAAUUUAAACAGGCCUAGCAAUGGGGCUGAAAACCCCAGAGAGGGCCAAUCAUUUGUUGGACUGUGUUACUCUGGAAGGGGUCCAUCCAUUUUAGACUUUGUAUGAUUUAGCUGGAGGGCUGAAGUACUGAAGACUCUCCUGAUGAGGGCAACAGCUGAUGGGGUGCCAGGAAAGAGUGCAGGAUCACACUCGGUCGACAGGAGGCACUCAUGAGAGAUUGGGAAUCACCAGUGCAAGACAUCCUUGGGGCAAUGGAACAUAUGGCUCUUCUGGGGUGGCUCCAGCCCUGGAUAGCCCUGAACUUAGUAGUGGGUUCAGCUUAUGUGGAGAGUGCAAAAACCCUGGUUCUGCCCCACCAGAUCCAAACCUGGCACCUUUGAUCUACCUGGAGAUUUCACCCUGGAAGAGGGUUUCCAUUCCCAACCAGCCUUUGGGGAAGAAAAUGUUCACACACAAAGCAGCGUGGCUGACCAAGGAGGGUGUGAUCUCCCUGGGCUGGGUCAGAAUGAAUCCUAGAAUAUCAGGGUUGGAAGGGACCUCAGGAGGUCAUCUAGUCCAACCCCCUGCUCCAAGCAGGACCAAUGGUACCAAGCCCAGUCUUCUCUCCUGAAAUAUAUCACAUACCAACAAGUACAUUAAAGGUAUUAAAGUUGCAAAAUAAAGCACUCAGAUGUUAAGAAAUGUGAGAAUUAGGGUUGCCUGGGCAAUUUUAAUUAAACUUUCUUGUGUGUAGCUGUUACAGUCUUUAAUGACAUGAUCACACACACCUUUUUUUGUACAGGAGCCUGCCUUAUUCAAUGCAUAGGAUUGACAAUGCUUGCUGAGUGGGUAGCUAUUCUGUAUUUCUUUUUAUCUCUAUCAUUCAGUGUGUUGCCCUGAACUGUAUGUCCUGCACACCCUCCAAACUCUUCUCUGAAUACAGAAUCGUUUCCUCUAUAGUGUU